rnacentral:rRNA from 1 species
UAGGGAAUCUUCGGCAAUGGGGGCAACCCUGACCGAGCAACGCCGCGUGAGUGAAGAAGGUUUUCGGAUCGUAAAACUCUGUUGUUAGAGAAGAACGUUAAGUAGAGUGGAAAGUUACUUAAGUGACGGUAUCUAACCAGAAAGGGACGGCUAACUACGUGCCAGCAGCCGCGGUAAUACGUAGGUCCCGAGCGUUGUCCGGAUUUAUUGGGCGUAAAGCGAGCGCAGGUGGUUCCUUAAGUCUGAUGUAAAAGGCAGUGGCUCAACCAUUGUGUGCAUUGGAAACUGGGGAACUUGAGUGCAGGAGAGGGGAGUGGAAUUCCAUGUGUAGCGGUGAAAUGCGUAGAUAUAUGGAGGAACACCGGAGGCGAAAGCAGCUCUCUGGCCUGUAACUGACACUGAGGCUCGAAAGCGUGGGGAGCAAACAGG